UACGGAGGGUGCAAGCGUUAAUCGGAAUUACUGGGCGUAAAGAGUGCGUAGGUGGUUAGGUAAGUUAUGUGUGAAAUCCCUGGGCUUAACCUGGGCAGGUCAUAUAAUACUGCUUGACUCGAGUAUGGGAGAGGGUAGUGGAAUUUCCGGUGUAGCGGUGAAAUGCGUAGAGAUCGGAAGGAACACCAGUGGCGAAGGCGGCUACCUGGCCUAAUACUGACACUGAGGCACGAAAGCGUGGGGAGCAAACAGG
rnacentral:rRNA from 1 species